UCUUACGGGAGGCAGCAGUAGGGAAUCUUCCGCAAUGGACGAAAGUCUGACGGAGCAACGCCGCGUGAGUGAUGAAGGUUUUCGGAUCGUAAAACUCUGUUGUUAGGGAAGAACAAGUACCGUUCGAAUAGGGCGGUACCUUUGACGGUACCUAACCAGAAAGCCACGGCUAACUACGUGCCAGCAGCCGCGGUAAUACGUAGGUGGCAAGCGUUGUCCGGAAUUAUUGGGCGUAAAGCGCGCGCAGGCGGUUUCUUAAGUCUGAUGUGAAAGCCCCCGGCUCAACCGGGGAGGGUCAUUGGAAACUGGGGAACUUGAGUGCAGAAGAGGAGAGUGGAAUUCCACGUGUAGCGGUGAAAUGCGUAGAGAUGUGGAGGAACACCAGUGGCGAAGGCGACUCUCUGGUCUGUAACUGACGCUGAGGCGCGAAAGCGUGGGGAGCGAACAGGAUUAGAUACCCUGGUAGUCCACGCCGUUAAACGAUGAGUGCUAAGUGUUAGAGGGUUUCCGCCCUUUAGUGCUGCAGCAAACGCAUUAAGCACUCCGCCUGGGGAGUACGGUCGCAAGACUGAAACUCAAAGGAAUUGACGGGGGCCCGCACAAGCGGUGGAGCAUGUGGUUUUAAAUUCGAAGCAACGCGAAGAACCUUACCAGGUCUUGACAUCCUCUGACAACCCUAGAGAUAGGGCUUCCCCUUCGGGGGCAGAGUGACAGGUGGUGCAUGGUUGUCGUCAGCUCGUGUCGUGAGAUGUUGGGUUAAGUCCCGCAACGAGCGCAACCCUUGAUCUUAGUUGCCAGCAUUCAGUUGGGCACUCUAAGGUGACUGCCGGUGACAAACCGGAGGAAGGUGGGGAUGACGUCAAAUCAUCAUGCCCCUUAUGACCUGGGCUACACACGUGCUACAAUGGGCAGAACAAAGGGCAGCGAAGCCGCGAGGCUAAGCCAAUCCCACAAAUCUGUUCUCAGUUCGGAUCGCAGUCUGCAACUCGACUGCGUGAAGCUGGAAUCGCUAGUAAUCGCGGAUCAGCAUGCCGCGGUGAAUACGUUCCCGGGCCUUGUACACACCGCCCGUCACACCACGAGAGUUUGUAACACCCGAAGUCGGUGAGGUAACCUUUUGGAACC
rnacentral:rRNA from 1 species